CUUUAGGUUCUAAUUUAUUUAUGCUUAUUUUUUUGUUUGGUUAGGCGUGAAGUGGGCGAGACACGGUCACGCGCCAAGUCAGCCGAGUGGUCGUUUCUCUUCGAAAGAGAGAAAAUGUAACCGAAACCACGUGGCAGAUAUCGAUUCGUUCGUGUUAUUGACUUGGGUGACAGUCGGUCGUAGCACCAACCACAUUCGAUUUUCUUUGUGAGACGUGUGUCCUCGUCAAAGACGCUCUACGUGGGGUUACAUGCUAGGCUCGGUUUCCGAACCUUGAUUCCGAGGCUCUGAUUUGAAUUUUUUGAACGUUGAAGCCAACCCACUUUGGUUCGUCUCUCUAUCUUCACCAUAUUUUCCCUUUUUGUUUUAGCAAUUGUUUUCUUCAAUUUGAAAUUCCAUUCAUUAUAAUAUCAAUAUGUGCAUAAUCGGACUCACAAAAUAUCGCCGUCAAUGUUUGGUGG